CCACUGAAAUAGCUGCCAGAAGACAGCCCAGGGUGCAAGGCAGAGGGAGAAGAUGACUAAAGGAAGAAAAGUAACUGAAAAGAACAGGAGCAACUACAACCCCAUUUUGAACUGUGGGAAUCAUCUUUAGUUUACCAGGUAUUUCCGUGUCUUCACUCCUAGCACCAUCUGCUCUUCCUUACACUGUGUUGAUUGAAUGAUGGUCUAGAACAAGGAAUAGUUGUCCAGGAUUACACUCAGAAGAUAUCUAUUGGUGUGUCUGUUUCUCAAAUGUUGGUUUUCUAUGUCUCUGAGGCACAACAUAUGUCAAGACAGACUUUUUAUAUACUGAAAUAUCUGAAAAUAAAAUAUCUGAAUAUUUGAAAAUAACAUUAACAACAACAACAAUAAUAACAACAGCAGCGGGGAUAAUAUUAUCAUUAAUAAUAUUAAUAACUGUUAAGAAUAAGAAUAAAGCAUUACCCUGAAAAAUAACAAUAAAUCUUGGGUUCUUUCUGUUUCCUUUUUGGGUUUUUGACCCUUUUAAGUCUCAUUAUUUUCCACCUUUUCCCCAUAGUUAUAAGUUUUAUUUCUUUAAUGAAAACUAAGGGGUCUGCCUUCGGUCUGACACCAUUUAAUAUCUUUAUUAAUGACUUGGAGGAAAGACCUUUCAUCACCAAAAAGUUAUAGACCAAUUUCCUUUCUCAGCCUCACUUACAAACUACAAAUGUCUUAUCCUGCAACCAGGUAUCCAGGUUGUAGCCAUAUUGGUCUAGAGGAAAAAGGAAUCAAAACUCAUGGCAGAGAUGAUAUCUUUUAUUAGAUCAACUAUAUAUUUGCCAAAAAUGUCUUUAUUUGCAAGCUUUCAGGCACAGGCACCCUUCCUCAGGCAUAGGAGACUGCAAAGAGUGUAAGAGUUCUUCUAGGUAGAAAUGAAAAUUCAUAUUUCACAGGAGAGCUGCAGGUGUUGUAAAGGCUCCUGUUCAGAACAGUUCAUUUUGUGCAGAUUAGGCUAAGAGAAAAAUUAGAAAAGUCUUUUUAUCUCAAAAUUCUCUGGUGUAGCAACCCCCCCAGUUUUUUCUUUUUUUUCUUUUUUUGUAUUUAUUUUAAAAUGCAUUCCCUCCCCUUCCACAACCAUUUCUGACCUUUUUUCUUCCUCUCUGUUUCCUAUAGAUAAGCAUAAGUGAGCUCAGACUUAGGAUAAGCUUUAAACAUUUUAAUUUUGGUAGCACGUUUUUGGUUUUGGAUAUCCACCAUUUUAUAUUGUAUUAUUAUAAGGUUUGUAUUAAUUUUUACUGUUGUAUAUUGUAUUAUUAUCAUUUUUGUAUUGAUUUUUAUUGCUUCAUAUGGAUAUUGUAUGGUUUAGGCCUGUGUUUGUAAGUGAACCAAAGUCAUGUCAAGUUUCCAUUUUAUAUGUCAAGCCUUCAUCUUCUGUCCUCUACCUGGGCAUCCCAUGUUGCAACUGUAUGAGUCAUAUACCCCUCCCAUGUAAAUUGGUUCCCAGAUGAAUGAGAAUGAUUGGGAAUGAUUGAAAUACAAUGGUAGCAGGCCUCUACUGAAUGGCCUGUAAUAACUGGGCCAUCACCUCACAUUGAUUCAUCCAGGAACCACAGACCUCACCCAGGAACAGAGACAAGACCAGCAUUUGAAAGACAAAAGGCCCUGCAAAACCAGCAACUCUCACCAUUACAGACACCUGAAACUGCACAUCCCUGCAUGGAGCACACAUGCUCAGUAUGCCAGGGGCUGACCUUUGCCUGGGCAUGCCUCCUGUCACUAGGGUCACACAAGGUCUGUCCCUAUAAAAAGGGGCAGUGAAGACAGACCCAGAGGGACACCCUCUCCAUCGGGACCAGCACCAUGCCACACCACCUAACCUAUCCACCCAGAGGCCCUGCCAGUGACCCCACUCUGGACAACACCUACUGGACAAGGACCCCUUUCCAGCCUGGGUAGGUAGAUAUUAACUGCACACCUCCUCCUACAAUUUGGACUCUCUCUCUCUCUCUCUCUCUCUUUCCCCUUCUGGACUUCAGUGGACUUCAGCCCCUGCACCAAGCCUCUCUAAACCCUGCUGCCAUUGUGUGUGUGUGUAUGUGUGUGUGGGUGUAAGGGAACCAAUUUGACAUUGUGUCACCAUCUCCCCUGUUCAAUAAAACCACUGUCAC